CCUGCAAAAAAUUGUGCGACUAAUCUCUAAAGAGAGUAUUCCGGGACUAGUCUCGAUGUGGAACAAUUGAGUAUUAAUUAGUCGCAACUAGUCUCAAACGGGUAUAAUUGGAGAUCAAUUAGUCUCAAUUAAUCCCUAUCGGGUACUAUUGGGAAAAAAGUUAGAAUUUUGGCAAAAAUACAUUCAUAAAUUUCAAAGCAAAGUUACUGAAUUUCCUUCAAUUCAAUUAUCAUAACCUAUUACAUUUAAAAAAAACCAUAAGUAAUGAAUUUCGUACAUGUAGGACAAUAAUAAAAAUGGUCAAAUAGUUAUCAACAAGUUUGACUAUUGUGAAUGGUAUUUACAUGGCAAUUGUCAAAAUCAAUUGUUUGACAGCAGCCACUUGAAAUAACGAAGCGCAAAAUAUUUAGUUUUUUGGCUUUGUUAUAUAGAUUAUGGAAUAAAGAAAACGCAUUGAAGAAUAAUAACUAAGGGAUUUAAAGUCAAUAGAGGUUAUUAGUGUGUUGCUGAAAUUUGAGAACCCAUGUGCUGCUGUAAUGGAUUCUACUAAUGUGCAAGUGGUUUCAUUUGACGACGAACAAAUAAUUGCUGUUGGCCGGGCUCUCAGAGCUGUAGCGGACGAAGUUUUCGAAGAACCCAAACAGGAACUCGUUUUAUAGGAAUCUGCGAUGUCUGCUAUUUUAUGCAACAAUCUCAGAAAUAUAAGGCUGCUGUUAAAUAAGGACGUCAUAGCGUCAAUAAACGUGGAUGGUUCACAUGGAAAGAUAAGCUUAAAAUCUUUCCCAAAUUUUUAUGCUUCAUUGACUGGUAAGAUAAAUAUUCCAUACCAUUGUUUUACACAUAUGUAUGUUUUUAUUUCAAGUUAAAUUAAAUCUUCUUUUCAUUUAGGAGCCCUUGCUAAAUUACCAUUUAAGGGAUUGUCGCCGGAGGACGCGCUGCGCAAAGCCAUUGCUUUCGAAAAAGCUAAAUGCUUUAAGAAAGCUUUUGUUCACGCGUUAUAUGAAAGCAAGAAAUCAACGCGAACUUUUUGAGUGGAGUACAAAACUGCGUAAACGAUUUUUUUUAAGAUACAUUUUUUUAAAUUUUGAUGAUAAUUUCUUUCAUGAGUUUUGCAAAAAUUUUGAUUUGUCAGAUUUAUGUUAGAGAAGCUGUAUUUAAAGUGUUUAAAGUCAAUUAAAUAAAAAUACAUAUUUUAAAACGAA